rfam:Hydrogenophaga sp. H7 H7_scaffold4, whole genome shotgun sequence.
CCCUGUCUGCAGUGCGUGCCGGGCUUUAUAUUUCCUUGAACCAAUGCUCCAUGAGCCCGGGCUUGGUACAUAACGUGGCUGGUGUGAGCGUCUCGCGUCAGAUGAACCCGAAGCCCCGUUGCCCUCGCCCACCUGAACCCCCGGUUCAGGAUGACGGUCCGGUGGCACUUGCAGACACCUA